CCUACGGGGUGCAGCAGUAGGGAAUAUUGCUCAAUGGGGGAAACCCUGAAGCAGCAACGCCGCGUGGAGGAUGAAGGUUUUCGGAUUGUAAACUCCUUUUGUCAGAGAAGAUAAUGACGGUUUCUAACGAAUAAGCACCGGCUAACUCCGUGCCAGCAGCCGCGGUAAUACGGAGGGUGCACGCGUUACUCGGAAUCACUGGGCGUAAAGGGCGCGUUGGCGGGAUAGCAAGGCAGAUGGGAAAACCUCGGGGUUAACCAUAGAACUGCAUUUGAAAAUGUUGUUCUAGAGUAUGGGAGAGGUAGGUGGAAUGCGUGGUGUAGGGGUAAAAUGCGUAGAGAUCAAGAGGAAUACUCAUUGCGAAGGCGACCUGCUAGAACAUAACUGACGCUGAUGCACGAAAGCGUGGGGAGCGAACAGGAUUAGAUACCCCUGUAGUC
rnacentral:rRNA from 1 species